GUCUCCUCCCCUGCCCGGGGGAGUAGAGAAGGAUUGGACAGCAGCACGGCAGUCCGGAAGGUCACACAAAACUUAUUUCAAGGACUGGAGCUCUCCUCUUGAAUAUGGAAUAAGAAAUGGACCUUAGCAACUAUUGUUGGUGACUGUAAUGAAACUGGUUGGAAUGAAAUAAACCCACAGAAAUCUGUCCUGUGCAGUUCAGCCUAGCCUGGCCUGUAAACAGUCUCUGCCUGCAGCAGAUGCUUCUGCUUUAGACUUAAGGCAGAUAAAACUACAGUAGAGAACAAACUCUUUUUGUUAUCAGCAAAUUCUUGGUCAUCAGUGAGCACAGACAGAAGCAGGAGGACUCCUCUUAUGAAACCUAUCAGCACCUGAAUGAUAUACAGAAUGCAGAAAGAAUGUAUUAAAUGAAGCUGGAAUAUUUCCUUAAAGGAAAGAAAGGCUUGUAAAGCUCUCAAUACACGAUAAACAUGAUAAAAGCCAAUCACAUAAUUAUGAAAACAGAGCUUGCUUGAUACUUCCUUCACAUUAUGAAUAAUCCAAGCAGCAGCACACAAAGCACUGUCUUGGCAAUGCCCUCUCUUGUUCAUGGGAAAACUGCAGGAGGAAGUAGCUGCAGACUUUUGUAUCUGACUGACACAGGGCAAAUAUUUCUUGCCAGAGUAGCCUAAGGGUUGAACAGAGUUUUGACAGUAGAAUGCAACUACAUGACUUGCAUAUCAAAAUUCCAAGCAGUUAAAAGGAUCUGAAGUUUUAUGAAGAACAGAACAGACCGUGCCAGGUUUUUUUAAUGACAAUGGAAAGCUCGUAAUACUCCAACAGGUUUCUUUUGGCUUAAUGGGAACUAAGCAGAAGCAAGCACUGCAGAGGCAGGUUUGUGCAACUGCAAAGACUUUGUCUAAUUGCAAAGACUGUGUAAUUUCUGCCAGGCAGAUGAGAACUAAAAAAAAGAGUACCUAUAAAACAAAAAUAA